ACGCUAGCGGCAGGCUAACACAUGCAAGUCGAGGGGUAGAGGAAGCUUGCUUCCUUGAGACCGGCGCACGGGUGCGUAACGCGUAUGCAAUCUGCCUUGUACUGAGGGAUAGCCCAGAGAAAUUUGGAUUAAUACCUCAUAGCAUUAUGAAAUCGCAUGGUUUUAUAAUUAAAGUUCCAACGGUACAAGAUGAGCAUGCGUCCCAUUAGUUAGUUGGUAAGGUAACGGCUUACCAAGACGAUGAUGGGUAGGGGUCCUGAGAGGGAGAUCCCCCACACUGGUACUGAGACACGGACCAGACUCCUACGGGAGGCAGCAGUGAGGAAUAUUGGUCAAUGGACGCAAGUCUGAACCAGCCAUGCCGCGUGCAGGAUGAAGCAUCUAUGGUGUGUAAACUGCUUUUGUACGGGAAGAAACACUCCUACGUGUAGGAGCUUGACGGUACCGUAAGAAUAAGGAUCGGCUAACUCCGUGCCAGCAGCCGCGGUAAUACGGAGGAUCCAAGCGUUAUCCGGAAUCAUUGGGUUUAAAGGGUCCGUAGGCGGCUUUAUAAGUCAGUGGUGAAAGCCCAUCGCUUAACGAUGGAACGGCCAUUGAUACUGUAGAGCUUGAAUUACUUGGAAGUAACUAGAAUAUGUAGUGUAGCGGUGAAAUGCUUAGAUAUUACAUGGAAUACCAAUUGCGAAGGCAGGUUACUACAAGUGGAUUGACGCUGAUGGACGAAAGCGUGGGGAGCGAACAGGAUUAGAUACCCUGGUAGUCCACGCCGUAACGAUGGAUACUAGCUGUUCGGAGCAAUCUGAGUGGCUAAGCGAAAGUGAUAAGUAUCCCACCUGGGGAGUACGCACGCAAGUGUGAAACUCAAAUGAAUUGACGG
rnacentral:rRNA from 1 species